GAAUUCGCCCUUAGAGUUUGAUCCUGGCUCAGGACGAACGCUGGCGGCACGCUUAACACAUGCAAGUCGAACGAGAGAAGAGAAGCUUGCUUUUCUGAUCUAGUGGCGGACGGGUGAGUAACACGUGAGCAAUCUGCCUUUCAGAGGGGGAUACCGAUUGGAAACGAUCGUUAAUACCGCAUAAUAUAAUUGAACCGCAUGAUUUGAUUAUCAAAGAUUUAUCGCUGAAAGAUGAGCUCGCGUCUGAUUAGCUAGUUGGUAAGGUAACGGCUUACCAAGGCGACGAUCAGUAGCCGGACUGAGAGGUUGAUCGGCCACAUUGGGACUGAGACACGGCCCAGACUCCUACGGGAGGCAGCAGUGGGGAAUAUUGCACAAUGGAGGAAACUCUGAUGCAGCGAUGCCGCGUGAGGGAAGAAGGUUUUAGGAUUGUAAACCUCUGUCUUCAGGGACGAAAAAAGACGGUACCUGAGGAGGAAGCUCCGGCUAACUACGUGCCAGCAGCCGCGGUAAUACGUAGGGAGCGAGCGUUGUCCGGAAUUACUGGGUGUAAAGGGAGCGUAGGCGGGAUCGCAAGUCAGAUGUGAAAACUAUGGGCUUAACCCAUAAACUGCAUUUGAAACUGUGGUUCUUGAGUGAAGUAGAGGUAAGCGGAAUUCCUAGUGUAGCGGUGAAAUGCGUAGAUAUUAGGAGGAACAUCAGUGGCGAAGGCGGCUUACUGGGCUUUAACUGACGCUGAGGCUCGAAAGCGUGGGGAGCAAACAGGAUUAGAUACCCUGGUAGUCCACGCCGUAAACGAUGAUUACUAGGUGUGGGGGGACUGACCCCUUCCGUGCCGCAGCAAACGCAAUAAGUAAUCCACCUGGGGAGUACGACCGCAAGGUUGAAACUCAAAGGAAUUGACGGGGGCCCGCACAAGCAGUGGAGUAUGUGGAUUAAUUCGAAGCAACGCGAAGAACCUUACCAGGUCUUGACAUCGUAUGCAUAGCUCAGAGAUGAGUGAAAUCUCUUCGGAGACAUAUAGACAGGUGGUGCAUGGUUGUCGUCAGCUCGUGUCGUGAGAUGUUGGGUUAAGUCCCGCAACGAGCGCAACCCUUACUGUUAGUUGCUACGCAAGAGCACUCUAGCAGGACUGCCGUUGACAAAACGGAGGAAGGUGGGGAUGACGUCAAAUCAUCAUGCCCCUUAUGACCUGGGCCUCACACGUACUACAAUGGCUGUUAACAGAGGGAUGCAAAGCCGCGAGGUGGAGCGAACCCCUAAAAGCAGUCUUAGUUCGGAUUGUAGGCUGCAACCCGCCUACAUGAAGUCGGAAUUGCUAGUAAUCGCAGAUCAGCAUGCUGCGGUGAAUACGUUCCCGGGCCUUGUACACACCGCCCGUCA
rnacentral:rRNA from 1 species